CUACGGGACGCACCAGUGGGGAAUAUUGCACAAUGGAGGAAACUCUGAUGCAGCAACGCCGCGUGGAGGAUGACACUUUUCGGAGCGUAAACUCCUUUUAUAUAGGAAGAAGAUGACGGUACUAUAUGAAUAAGCGCCGGCUAACUCCGUGCCAGCAGCCGCGGUAAUACGGAGGGCGCAAGCGUUACUCGGAAUCACUGGGCGUAAAGAGCGUGUAGGCGGAUUAAAAAGUCAGAAGUGAAAUCCUAUAGCUUAACUAUAGAGCUGCUUCUGAAACUCUUAAUCUAGAAUAUGGGAGAGGUGGAUGGAAUUUCUGGUGUAGGGGUAAAAUCCGUAGAGAUCAGAAGGAAUACCGAUUGCGAAGGCGAUCUACUAGAACAUUAUUGACGCUGAGACGCGAAAGCGUGGGGAGCAAACAGGAUUAGAUACCCCUGUAGUC
rnacentral:rRNA from 1 species